rnacentral:rRNA from 1 species
UGCAGUCGAACGGUAACAGGAAGCAGCUUGCUGCUUCGCUGACGAGUGGCGGACGGGUGAGUAAUGUCUGGGAAACUGCCUGAUGGAGGGGGAUAACUACUGGAAACGGUAGCUAAUACCGCAUAACGUCGCAAGACCAAAGAGGGGGACCUUAGGGCCUCUUGCCAUCGGAUGUGCCCAGAUGGGAUUAGCUAGUAGGUGGGGUAACGGCUCACCUAGGCGACGAUCCCUAGCUGGUCUGAGAGGAUGACCAGCCACACUGGAACUGAGACACGGUCCAAACUCCUACGGGAGGCAGCAGUGGGGAAUAUUGCACAAUGGGCGCAAGCCUGAUGCANCCAUGCCGCGUGUAUGAAGAAGGCCUUCGGGUUGUAAAGUACUUUCAGCGGGGAGGAAGGGAGUAAAGUUAAUACCUUUGCUCAUUGACGUUACCCGCAGAAGAAGCACCGGCUAACUCCGUGCCAGCAGCCGCGGUAAUACGGAGGGUGCAAGCGUUAAUCGGAAUUACUGGGCGUAAAGCGCACGCAGGCGGUUUGUUAAGUCAGAUGUGAAAUCCCCGGGCUCAACCUGGGAACUGCAUCUGAUACUGGCAAGCUUGAGUCUCGUAGAGGGGGGUAGAAUUCCAGUGUAGCGGUGAAAUGCGUAGAGAUCUGGAGAUACNNGUGGC